rnacentral:rRNA from 1 species
CCUACGGGAGGCAGCAGUGAGGAAUAUUGGUCAAUGGACGCAAGUCUGAACCAGCCAUGCCGCGUGCAGGAAGACGGCUCUAUGAGUUGUAAACUGCUUUUGUACGAGGGCAAACGCAGAUACGCGUAUCUGUCUGAAAGUAUCCUACGAAUAAGGAUUGGCUAACUCCGUGCCAGCAGCCGCGGUAAUACGGAGGAUUCAAGCGUUAUCCGGAUUUAUUGGGUUUAAAGGGUGCGUAGGCGGUCGGAUAAGUUAGAGGUAAAAUCCCGAGGCUCAACUCCAGCCAGCCGUUGAAACUGAUGAUCGUGAGUGGGCGAGAAGUAUGCGGAAUGCGUGGUGUAGCGGUGAAAUGCAUAGAGAUCACGCAGAACUCCGAUUGCGAAGGCAGCAUACCGGCGCCCGACUGACGCUGAAGCACGAAAGCGUGGGUAUCGAACAGGAUUAGAUACCCGGGUAGUC